GAAUCUGCCUGCCAGUGCAGGGGACACGGGUUCGAUCCCUGGUCCCGGAAGAUCCCACAUGCUGCGGAGCAACUAAGCCCCCUGCGGUCUAGAGCCCGAGAGCCACAACUACUGAGCCCGCGUGCCACAACUACUGAAGCCCACACGCCUAGAGCCCAUGCUCCGCAACGAGAAGCCACAGUAAUGAGGAGCCCACACACCACAACAAAGAGUAGCUCCUGCUCACCGCAACUAGAGGAAACCUGUGCGCAGCAAUGAAGACCCAACGCAGCCAAAAAUAAUUAAUUUUUUUUAAAAAAAAGGAA